rnacentral:rRNA from 1 species
CCUACGGGUGGCUGCAGUGAGGAAUAUUGGUCAAUGGGCGGAAGCCUGAACCAGCCAAGUAGCGUGCAGGAUGACGGCCCUACGGGUUGUAAACUGCUUUUAUACGGGAAUAACGCGCCUUACGUGUAGGGCUUUGCGUGUACCGGAUGAAUAAGGACCGGCUAAUUCCGUGCCAGCAGCCGCGGUAAUACGGCAGGUCCGGGCGUUAUCCGGAUUUAUUGGGUUUAAGGGGUGCGCAGGCGGGCCUUUAAGCCGGCGGUGAAAGCCCGGGGCUCAACCCCGCCGAGCCGUCGGAACUGGGGGCCUUGAGUGCGGCGGAGGCAUGCGGAAUGCGCGGUGUAGCGGUGAAAUGCAUAGAUAUCGCGCAGAACCCCGAUUGCGAAGGCAGCGUGCCGUGCCGCCACUGACGCUGAGGCACGAAAGCGCGGGGAUCGUACAGGAUUAGAUACCCCAGUAGUC